rnacentral:rRNA from 1 species
UACAGAGGUGACUAACGUUGUCCGGAAUUACUGGGCGUAAAGGGCGCGUAGGCGGGAUGGCAAGUCGGUCGUGAAAUCCCUCGGCUCAACUGAGGAUCGUCGAUCGAUACUGCCGUUCUUGAGGAUUGCAGAGGAGACUGGAAUUCCCGGUGUAGCGGUGAAAUGUGUAGAGAUCGGGAGGAACACCGGUGGCGAAGGCGGGUCUCUGGGCAAUUCCUGACGCUGAGGCGCGAAAGCGUGGGGAGCAAACGGG